AAACCAACAGGGAUUGCCCUAGUAACGGCGAGUGAAGCGGCAACAGCUCAAAUUUGAAAUCUGGCUACUUUGUAGUCCGAGUUGUAAUUUGUAGAGGAUGCUUUUGGUGAGGUGCCUUCCGAGUUCCCUGGAACGGGACGCCAUAGAGGGUGAGAGCCCCGUACGGUUGGAUGCCAAACCUUUGUAUAGCUCCUUCAACGAGUCGAGUAGUUUGGGAAUGCUGCUCUAAAUGGGAGGUAUAUCUCUUCUAAAGCUAAAUAUAGGCUAGAGACCGAUAGCGCACAAGUAGAGUGAUCGAAAGAUGAAAAGCACUUUGAAAAGAGAGUUAAACAGCACGUGAAAUUGUUGAAAGGGAAGCGCCUAUGACCAGACUUGUCUCUAUCAGUUUUGCUAGUUUUCGGACUGGUUUACUCUGUUAGUACAGGCCAGCAUCAGUUUGUUGUUAGGGAGAAAGGCUUUGGGAAUGUGGCUCCUCCGGGAGUGUUAUAGCCCUUUGCAUAAUACCUUUCGGCAGACUGAGGACCGCGCUUCGGCAAGGAUGCUGGCGUAAUGGUCAUCAGCGAC
rnacentral:rRNA from 1 species